rnacentral:rRNA from 1 species
UACGUAGGGUGCAAGCGUUGUCCGGAAUUAUUGGGCGUAAAGAGCUCGUAGGCGGUUUGUCGCGUCGAAUGUGAAAACCCGGGGCUCAACUCCGGGCCUGCAUUCGAUACGGGCAGACUAGAGUUCGGUAGGGGAGACUGGAAUUCCUGGUGUAGCGGUGAAAUGCGCAGAUAUCGUAAGGAAGACCAGUGGCGAAGGCGGGUCUCUGGGCAAUUCCUGACGCUGAGGCGCGAAAGCGUGGGGAGCAAACGGG